UUUGGUACGCCAACAGCUCCAGAUCCAGGCGGCUGUGGUCGGAUCCACUACCGAUCCACCACCCCCUCCGUCCCGGGCCCUGGCCAGCCGCCAGCGUGGUCUUCUGUCUUGCUUCAAGCUUCAGUUUGGAGGCCCACUCAGGUUUGCUUCGACUCAUGCUUUCUUUGAUGGAAAAAGUCCAAAACAAACCUUCAAUUUGUAGGCAAAAGCUAAAUCAAAUCCCGAACUCUCAAUCGCUGAAAUGAGCACACCAAACUCUCUAAUCCCGAUUUGCUGAAUUGGGCCGGCCCAGUAGCGCAGUUACUCACGCACACACACUAAUCUGGUUUUCUUAAUUUCUUUCUUUUUCGUUUUCUUUUCUUUUUUAAUUUUUACACAUUUCUAAAUUUUCUCAGUACCCAAUGUACAUUUCUAACGCACACAAUAAAUAUUUCUGGAUAAUCUUUUAAUAUUUUCAAAUACAGUAUGUACAUUUUUAAAUUAAAUGUUUUAAAAACUUUUUGAACACAUGGUAAUAUUUUUCCAAAUACAUGUUUUACAUUAAAUUAAAUGUUUUACAUUUUCUUAAUGACAAUAAACAUUUUAUAAAACUACACGAACACUCUUUUACAUGGUUCAACAUUUUUUAAUUUGCAUACACUUUUUUCAAGGACAUACCACAUAUAUUCUGUUUAGGUCAGGACACAUUUUUUACAUCACGCAAACAUAUUUUUACAUUGCACACACAUUUUUUGAAAAUGUAACAAACACACUUUUUGAAACACGUGAACAUUCUUGAAAUGUUACAUUUUUUUGACUGUACAAAACAUUUUUUGAAUCACAUGAAUGUUUCAAAAAGUCUUUGCACUUUACAAUUUUGUUAAGGUUGCAAAAAAUGUUUGUAAAGGUGUUCGCUUUUUCCAAGUUGUUGGUUUUUGAAAAGUAUUCGAAUUUUUCAAAAAGUGUUCGCUUGGAAUUAUUUCGUCGCCCGUUAAGAAAAAGAAAGAAAGAAUUUUUACGCCGCAUGUUAAGGAAAAAAUUCGCUUCAUGUCUGGUGGGCUGGUCCAGUCGAGUCCACUGCCAACAAUCUGAAACAUCUUUUAAAUACAUUAUUUAAGAAAUAAUUUACGAAAUUCCAAAAACAUUAUUAAAAAAUGUGACACAAUUUUGAAAAUACGAAGAAAAAAAUCAAAGCAUGUGAAAAACUGUUGGAAUUCUGAACAUUUUUUGACAAAUGUGAUUUUUUUUAAAUCGCGAACAGUUUUUUAAAAUGCUAAUAGAGUUUCAAAAUUCCAAACAGUUUUUAAAAACACAAAAAUAAUUUAAAUUGUGCGAAAAAUAGAAAACCGGAACAUUUUUAACUUCUGAACAAUUCUAGAAAUGUGCGGACAUUUUUAACAGUUUUGUUAUAGUGGGCCGGCCCAAAUUCUUGUCCGUGAGAGUAGCUUGUGAUCCUGGCUGGGAUUGUAGUAUUCCCGGUGUGCCAAACAGGUAUAGGGUUCAAAAUAGACCGGGAUUACAAGUUCAGAGUGCCAAUUUCCGGGAUUCAAAGUUCAGGGUUUGAUUUAGCUUUUAUCUACAACUUCAAGGUUUAUUUUGGACUUUUCCCUUCUUUGAUCCCUCUACCCGCUCUAACACCACCAGCGGCCACGACGGGCAUCUGCAUCUCACGGCGGCCAAGGACCAGCACCGACCCGGACCCUUUUUUUCCAUGCACCUCUCUCCUCUUUGAUCGGUUGUGACCUUCCUCCCGGGCUAUUUUUUAUUGGGCAUGUAUGGCAUCUUUCUUGGUUUCUCUAGGAUAAACAUGAUCCAUAUCUCACCCUUUUUUGCUGGAUUGUUGAUUCUUGCAACUCCGAAGGUAUAUAAGUUGCUAGGAUUUGUGAUAAAGGGACAGUGUGGGACUAUUAAUUGGAAUAUGAAAGUUCAUCAAACUCUGUUUGCCGCCCCAUAACGGAAGGGAGGGGAGGGCAAAUCGUGAGGUCGAAGUUUUGUAGCGGCCCAUAACAUUUUUUUGGCCCACUAUACUCACGAAGCUGCGAGCGAACGGAUGAAAUUAUGGCAGCGAGGACGACGUACGAAAAAUUGACGAAAAUUAGGGAGGAAGAAGCGUUAGCCCAUUUAUUAUUAGGUAAAGACUAGAAUAAAGGCCCUCUUGGAGCUGAUAUGGGCUAUGGCCAGUGCAGCCCAUUUUGCACCAGUUCCUUUUUUUUGAGAAAUUUGUAGAUAACAUAUAAAUUAUAAUUUCAGUAAUAAAGUACGACCCUUAGAUAUUAGUGUGUUAUAAAUAUUGUCCAUACAAAGGAAAUAACCUACUUUUAGAAUUGUUC
rnacentral:lncRNA from 1 species